UUUGUAAACUAUUGGUGGAUUCUAUUGCUGUGGAUUUUAAAUCUGCAUUUGAGUGUCGAAAACCAUUUUAGUGGAGCCAUUUUUAUCGGAUAAAUGAAAGUUUUUAUAUACCAGUAACUGGUACAUAUUUUUAAAAGCAUUAUUUACAUGAUCAAAUUCAUUGUACAUUCAUAACUGAAACCUUUGCUUUAAAAGCAAUGUUUUACUCCUUUAUACUUGCACCCUGAAUUUUCUACCAUUUUAUGUAUAUAUAUUGCCUUAAAGAUGAAAUCUUUUUUUAUAUAUGAAUAAUACAUGUGUAUCUACUGUUUAGUGUAUUUUAUCCAUUGUAUACCAGUACCAUACAUUAUUUAAUGAAUGAAUGAGCAUGCUAUAUAUUAAUGUAGAAAUGUUUUGUAUUUUUUCAUUUCAUGAGUUGUUUGUUUCAUCUAAAUCUUAAGUACAGCAAAACCUUCUUGUAACAAGUUUUAUUUUAUAUUAUGCACACUGACAACAAACAGUCAAGACCCAUAUCAUUCUGUCAAUUAAUAUUCUUGCAAUUCACUCUCAGAAUGGAAUCUUCCCUUGAUUGCAGAUAUUCUCUGCAGGAAAAAGUGGCUGGCAUGAUUUUUAUGCAAUAUCUUUUUCUUUGAAAAUGGUGUGAAAACCUUGCAAAUUUCAUGAGUUAUAUGAGCCACUCUUGCCUGCAUAGCAAGUAAUUUUCAGUGUUAAGAGAGGCUUAUGAACACCAAUGGUCACUUAUUUGUAUACUUUUGUAUUUGUAUGAUUUUUUGUGCAUCUUUAAAAUACUGCUUCUGGGGAAUCAAAUUCCUUAUAAAAAUUACUUUAUUCAUCCAGAACAGUGAAGGGGCACUCUAGCGGAACAGAAGCCAAAAAUCCAAACACCUUUUCUACCAUGUGAAUUGAAAUGGUUUUCAACAUAUAUGUAAAUUAAUGUAAAAUUUGUAGAAUCUAAGGUUCAUUUUUGUUACCAGGGUAAUACAGAUGAAUUGGUUGAAAACAAGAAAAUCGAUAUUGAUAAGACUACACUUUUUAUAUUAAAAAAUUAUGUACAAUUUCACAAAUAUUUUUUUAAUAGCAAGUGCCCCCGACAGUAACUGCAUUCUCUCCAAAGUGCAAUGUUGUCAAUGUGACAAUGUCAACAAAUAAAAUGCUGCU
rnacentral:misc_RNA from 1 species